CACGACCGGCCACUCGUCUAUCAAAACUGUAUCGCAAAUUUAACUACCCCUCAGUAACUCGUAAUGUCAAAACCAAAUUGUACGAAAAAUUAUUGAAACUGGCAACAAAGGCAAAAAUUGUUGAUUUAGAAUAACAGUUACCUUAGUUACCACUGUUAUUUUGUUGGUAAAUAAAAAUAGUCUCAAAAGGAAUCAAAGCGUGAUUGUGUUUACUGGAAAAAUGACUUCGUCAGCCAAGUUACAGGAUACCCGUUGCGAAUCCGAGUAACAAGUAUCUGCCAAAUUGAGCUGCAAAUUCCUUGUAUUAUUACAAGAAAUUGAGCUUUGUUUACGAUGCGGAACUAAUAACUUAUGGGGUAGUUCAUGAGCGCCUCGGUUGGAAACAGGACCAUACGACAGCUUGCGGUCAGAAAACAGUUAUAUUUCAGGAACCAGUGAUCAGGAUCACAUUCAGAUGGAGCAGUAUUAGGAUUUUUUGAUAGAUAGCAAAAUGAUGUAGAUAGUAAGGUAAAUGGCAUCGAGUCGGAUCCCGUCGGAGCGGUAGGAAAUUAUUCAUGUGAUCGAUGUUGUUUAAAAAAUAAAGCAUCCC